rnacentral:tRNA from 1 species
GGAGAGAUGGCUCAGUGGUUAAGAGCACUGACUGCUCUUCCAGGGGUCCUGAGUUCAAUUCCCAGCAACCACA